UCCACCGCUUGCCUUCCCCAAGGACACCUCGCUCCUCUCGCUUCACAAGUUCGUGAAAUCAUAUGCAGCCCAGUCUAAAAGAUUGGGCAAGAUGCAAAUGCAGUGUCUUCAUCAAGAGAUGGCAGGGAAUAGUACGCUGCAUACAGAUUAUAAGGGGGGAGAACAGAGGCCAUGGACAAAAUCUGACGCCAUGCUUGUACUUGAAGAUGGUUCUGUAUGGAGAGCAAAGUCUUUUGGUGCAUCAGGAACACAAGUUGGUGAAGUCGUGUUCAAUACAUCUUUAACAGGGUAAUUUGGUCAUUUUUUGAAGGUAUUAGGAGAUUCUCACUGACCCCAGCUAUGCUGGUCAAUUUGUUCUGAUGACAAAUCCUCAUAUUGGGAAUACUGGUGUCAAUCCUGAUGACGAGGAAUCUAGUCAAUUCUUCCUUGCUGGUUUGGUCAUCAAAAACCUAAGCAUUUGCACUUCAAACUGGCGAUGCACAGAAACUCUCAGCGAUUAUUUGACAAAUAGGAAUAUCAUGGCCAUAUAUGAUGUGGACACUCAUGUCAUUACAAGAAGGCUGAUGGAAGAUG